rnacentral:rRNA from 1 species
UACGGAGGAUUCAAGCGUUAUCCGGAUUUAUUGGGUUUAAAGGGUGCGUAGGCGGCAGGGCAAGCCUGAUGUGAAAGCCCGGGGCUCAACCCCGGGACUGCAUUGGGAACUGCCCCGCUCGAGUGCCGGAGGGGCAGGCGGAAUUCCUAGUGUAGCGGUGAAAUGCGUAGAUAUCACGCAGAACCCCGAUUGCGAAGGCAGCAUACCGGCGCUCAACUGACGCUGAGGCACGAAAGUGCGGGUAUCGAACAGG